UCGCGAAAACUUUGCAAUACACGAAAGUGUGACAGGGUCAUCCCGAGUGCCGACCGCUGAGGUUGGCUUUUACUCAGUCUAGAAAGCUGGGGGAAUAAGGAGAGGGCAAGUCUGGUGUCAGCCGCCGCGGUAAUACCAGCUCUCCGAGUGGUGUGGACGUUUAUUGGGCCUAAAGCAUCCGUAGCUGGCUGAACAAGUCCCCUGUUAAACCCACCGAUUUAAUCGUUGGUCUGCGGGGGAUACUGCUCGGCUAGGGGACGAGAGAGGCAGGCGGUAUUCCCGGGGUAGGGGUGAAAUCCUAUAAUCCCGAGAAGACCACCAGUGGCGAAGGCUGCCUGCUAGAACGCGCCCGACGGUGAGGGAUGAAAGCUGGGGGA
rnacentral:rRNA from 1 species